rnacentral:rRNA from 1 species
UACGGAGGGUGCAAGCGUUACUCGGAAUCGCUGAGCGUAAAGGGCGCGUAGGCGGCCUAGCAAGUCUGGUGUGAAAGCCCAGGGCUCAACCCUGGAAGGGCACUGGAAACUGUUAGGCUUGAGUUCCGGAGAGGAGGGGGGAAUUCCCGGUGUAGCGGUGAACUGCGUAGAUAUCGGGAGGAAUACCGGUGGCGAAGGCGCCCCUCUGGACGGAAACUGACGCUGAGGCGCGAAAGCGUGGGGAGCAAACAGG